UGCGACAGCAUUCCUGCGUAGUACGAGAGGAACCGCAGGUACGGACAAGGCAUACUUGUUCGAGCGAACAGUGGUAUGACGGUACGUCCGUUGGAUUAUGCCUGAACGUCGUAUCCGAGCUGGACUGCA
rnacentral:ncRNA from 1 species